AUUGAACGCUGGCGGCAGGCCUAACACAUGCAAGUCGAACGGUAGCACAGAGAGCUUGCUCUCGGGUGACGAGUGGCGGACGGGUGAGUAAUGUCUGGGAAACUGCCCGAUGGAGGGGGAUAACUACUGGAAACGGUAGCUAAUACCGCAUAACGUCGCAAGACCAAAGUGGGGGACCUUCGGGCCUCACACCAUCGGAUGUGCCCAGAUGGGAUUAGCUAGUAGGUGGGGUAAGGGCUCACCUAGGCGACGAUCCCUAGCUGGUAUGAGAGGAUGACCAGCCACACUGGAACUGAGACACGGUCCAGACUCCUACGGGAGGCAGCAGUGGGGAAUAUUGCACAAUGGGCGCAAGCCUGAUGCAGCCAUGCCGCGUGUAUGAAGAAGGCCUUCGGGUUGUAAAGUACUUUCAGCGGGGAGGAAGGCGGUGAAGUUAAUAACUUCACCGAUUGACGUUACCCGCAGAAGAAGCACCGGCUAACUCCGUGCCAGCCGCCGCCGUAA
rnacentral:rRNA from 1 species